UGGCCUGGGGCGGAAUCGAACCACCGACACAAGGAUUUUCAAUCCUCUGCUCUACCGACUGAGCUACCGGGCC